CAUCCCCCAAAACUUCAAAAAACCAAAAAAAAAAAAAAAAAAGCACACAAAACAAAACAAAAGAAAAAAUCUACAUACACACCCUUUUAUUUUACCCCCUCUUGGAAUCUUAUCCUCGUGUUUCCAAGCCUUUCUUUGUUUUUUCUUCUGUCUUCAAAG
rnacentral:ribozyme from 1 species